AUUAUGUUUGGGCCAUUAAUAGCGUGACUCAAUUUAACUACUUUUGUUACAUGACGUGAAUCAUGGUUUACUAGGGCUGCUGCAAUUCCAAGGGCCAAGGGUGGAGCACGCCUGCAGAUGAAAUUAGCCUACAAUCACUGGGCUCCUCUGUUUUUCUUUCUGCUACAAAGGAUAGAUUGUUCUUAUUUUCGCCCAAUCCCCAUAUAUCUAAAUUUCUUUUUGGUAUGUUGAUUCUUAGAAGAUAGUUUGCAAUGUGCAUCAAAUGCUACCGCAAAUGGAGCACUGAACGUCCAGGAAGGGUGGGCUGUAUCUGAUGCGAUUGUAGCCUGCUGCAACUUUUUGCCCAUUUCUAUGAUGGGAAUGCUCAGUAUCACAUAAGUUUGCUUAGAAUCCAUGCAAUCUUUUGAUCUGUGUAGGUUUUCAUUUUGAGACAAGGAACUCCAUGCUAUGCUAAGAUAUUAUCAUUCAAAGAUUUAAAAUCCGCAGGGUUUACUAAUCCUUCUCUUGUCGUCCAAAUCUGAAACUCCUUUUCUUGGAUGAUUGGUUACCUAUGCUAAAAUAAGAUUUCUUGAUUUUCUUUUA